UGGUAUAAAGGAAUAGGGAACGUGAGCUGGGUUUAGACCGUCGUGAGACAGGUUAGUUUUACCCUACUGAUGAUCGACAUUGCAAUGGUAAUUCAACUUAGUACGAGAGGAACCGUUGAUUCAGAUAAUUGGUUUUUGCGGCUGUCUGACAAGGCAUUGCCGCGAAGCUACCAUCUGCCGGAUUAUGGCUGAACGCCUCUAAGUCAGAAUCCGUGCCAGAAGGCGAUGUUCUUGCCCCGCACGUCGUAGUCGGAUACGAAUAGGCUUCGGCCAGGCACCCCAACAGGUCGACACCGCCCCGCUUGUGGAAGCACUCGCGGGGUCGUCGACGGAUAGUCAUUUCGCAACGGGCGGGGAGUUGAACCUCUGCAGACGACCGAGAUGCACCACCAGGUCAUGUACGUAGUCGAGUAGGCUAGUUCUUACGAGCUACUGAGUGUAAGCCUGACCGUGGUCCGUUCUCC
rnacentral:ncRNA from 1 species